CCUGUGACUCCUCACAAGGACUACCCUGGCCAAGGUUUUGCUAAAUUGAAACACGACUGUACACAGCUCCUAAACUGGAGUGGUCAAUCCCAUCUUGACACACGCACCGACAAGUCAAAUACUUGACUACACCCAACAGCCUUCCAUCACUGAAUUAAAAAUUCAGGUAGUCCAGUGCCUAAGUGCAGUGAGUUGCUUGCAAGUCAUCGUGGCGGUCUUAGAUCGGAGGGAUAUUUAUACCCAUAUUCCAUCGGAGCAAAUCUUGACAGCAGAAGUAGCUCUGGAGUCAGUCACGUUCAAUACAAAUGUACCCUUAUAUCUCACCUGUAUGCCAUACCAGUGUCUCCACACUCAUUGGUUAAGAGGACAACCAAUCUAUAUGGCACACAACGACCUAUGCUUGAUAAACGUUGUCGUCCUUGGUAACAAUGUAUCAUUUGAUUGCGAACAGAUUUAAGGACUAAACGACAAAUCCUCCUUUGUCA
rnacentral:lncRNA from 1 species